rnacentral:rRNA from 1 species
AUUGAACGCUGGCGGCAGGCCUAACACAUGCAAGUCGAGCGGAUGAAGGGAGCUGGCUCCUGGAUUCAGCGGCGGACGGGUGAGGAAUGCCUAGGAAUCUGCCUGGUAGUGGGGGAUAACGUCCGGAAACGGGCGCUAAUACCGCAUACGUCCUGAGGGAGAAAGUGGGGGAUCUUCGGACCUCACGCUAUCAGAUGAGCCUAGGUCGGAUUAGCUAGUUGGUGGGGUAAAGGCCUACCAAGGCGACGAUCCGUAACUGGUCUGAGAGGAUGAUCAGUCACACUGGAACUGAGACACGGUCCAGACUCCUACGGGAGGCAGCAGUGGGGAAUAUUCGACAAUGGGCGAAAGCCUGAUCCAGCCCUGCCGCGUGUGUGAAGAAGGUCUUCGGAUUGUAAAGCACUUUAAGUUGGGAGGAAGGGCAGUAAGUUAAUACCUUGCUGUUUUGACGUUACCAACAGAAUAAGCACCGGCUAACUUCGUG